rnacentral:rRNA from 1 species
CCUACGGGAGGCAGCAGUGGGGAAUAUUGCACAAUGGGGGAAACCCUGAUGCAGCGACGCCGCGUGAGUGAAGAAGUAAUUCGUUAUGUAAAGCUCUAUCAGCAGGGAAGAAAAUGACGGUACCUGAGUCAGUAGCCCCGGCUAACUACGUGCCAGCAGCCGCGGUAAUACGUAGGGGGCAAGCGUUAUCCGGAUUUACGGGGUGUAAAGGGAGCGUAGACGGCAGUGCAAGUCUGGAGUGAAAGGCGGGGGCUCAAACGCCGAACUGCUCUGGAUACUGUACGGCUUGAGUGCAGGAGAGGUAAGUGGAAUUCCUAGUGUAGCGGUGAAAUGCGUAGAUAUUAGGAAGAACACCAGUGGCGAAGGCGGCUUACUGAACUGUGACUGACGUUGAGGCUCGAAAGCGUGGGGAGCAAACAGGAUUAGAUACCCUUGUAGUC